rnacentral:rRNA from 1 species
GACGGAGGGGGCGAGUGUUACUCAUCAUGACUGGGCGUAAAGGGCAUCUAGGCCGGAAACUAAGUCGACGUCAAAAAAUCGUGGCUUAACUGUGAAUAGACGAUCGAUACUGGAUUUCUUAGAGUGCAAGAGAGGAUAGUGGAAUUUCUAGUGUAGAGAUGAAAUUCGGAAAGAUUAGAAGGACCUCCGGAUGCAAAAGCGACUAUCUGGAUUGUUGACUGACGCUGUAGUGCGAAAGCAUGGGCAUCAAACAGG